UUAGAGUACAACCACACUUGAAAAAAUGUUUUGAAGGAAUAGCUAAAGUGGAAUUUACAGAUGUCUUGGAUAUCACACACAUUAAAAGCAGUGAAGGAGAGGUGGUCCAACUAAUAAAUACAAUUUCAACAUCUAAAGCCAGAGGCCAAGUGGAAAAAUGGCUUCUUGA